GUCACCCAUCUUGAUUCUCCAUGAAUAUUUAUUUAUACAUAUGUUCUAUUUAACUUAAACAUAAAUAAGUAUUGUUUACAAAUAGAACCAAAAGUUUUACUCUUGAUCGGUUUUUAUUCCAAAACAAAUAAAUUACUAGCAAAGGUUUAAUAUUUGGAUGUGAGGUGAUAACACCAGAGUAUUGAAGAAUGGGCUUGCCAGUUUGAAUUUAAACAUACAACAGUUAGUAUCCUUAUCGGUCUUCACCUAAAACCAAGCUGGAGCACUUAAGCUGUACGAGAUGAAGCGAGUGGUGCCAUCAGAAAUCCAAAGAUUCUGUAAAGAUUGUCUUGAGGUGGUAGGAGCAUCUCCUCCCCAUGCAGCGUCUCUGGCUGCAGUCCUGGCUCAGGCAGACCAGAUGGGCUACUUCAGCCAUGGUCUCAACAGGCUUGCAAUAUAUGUACAAGAUGUUCAGCUGAAGCUGGCUGAUGGUGCUGCCGUGCCCUCCAUUAUCAAGGAGACCACUGCCACAGCCUGGGUGGACGGGAAGAAUGCUUUGGGUCCUGUUGUUGGAAACUUCUGUAUGGAUGUUGCCAUCAAGAAAGCCAAAGAGUGCGGUAUCGGUUGGAUCGUUGCCAAAGGCUCAAACCAGUAUGGAAUUGGUUCAUGGUAUAGUACACAAGCACUGAAGCACAAUAUGUUGGGAAUGGUUUUUAGCAAUGCAUCUCCUCUGGUACCUCCAACAAGAAGUGAAAAGAAUGCUAUGGGUACAAACCCUCUCUCUGUAGCAGCUCCAGCUAUGGAUGGAGACAGUUUUGUGUUAGACAUGGCUACUUCUACUACUGCAGUUGGAGUUAGUGAAAUUUCUAAGAAGAAAAAAGAGAAGGUUCCUCUCCAGGACAUGAAAGAUAACUACCAGCCGCUGGGAUCAUUUGGAUCACUCUCUGCUCCCAUCCGCAAUCUUAAACUGACACAUAAAAAAUUGAGUAUUGAAGUGAAGAAAACGACACAAAAAAAAAUUCCUAUGGCUUGGGCUCAAAUUCCUGAUGAAAAACCAAAAGACACUAUUGCUAAACUUGCUUGGGACAUCAAGGAUCAAAUGCCAUUAGGUGGGGAGGAGAUAAAUUCUGGUUAUAAAGGCUAUGGCUUGGCACUAAUGGUGGAAACGUUUUGUGGAAUUUUAGCUGGAGGUGACUUUGGUCCAAACAUCCGGGAAUGGACAGAUGCUAAGCGACCGGCUAAUCUGGCUCAAUGUUUUGUAGUUAUUAAUCCAACCCACUUUGCUCCAGGCUUUGAACAGAGAAUGUCAGAGAUGAAUAGAAUUCUCCGUAAUUUGGAGCCUUGGUUGGCCUCUACACCUGGGAGGUUAUACUAUAUGUUGAAAGGAAGAACCUACCUCGAGUUGCUGACCACCACGACUGCUACACCCAACCUCCUGCAUACUACUCACUACCAACCACCAUUUAACACUGUAUGAAAUAAAACUGUCAUAUCCUGGCAAGAAUCUGUACAACCUACUCCUACAAUAAUUGAAAGCUCUUAAACAAAUAAAGUUGAAGGCAUCGCUGAAUGACUGGUUGACAUCAACACCCUUCUAAUUUUACACCCAGACAAGCCUGUGCUGGUGCCAGGGGACCCAGAACGCAAAUAUAUGGAGAAAGUCAACAAGGAGGGUGGUGUAUUGUAUACCGAGGAUCAGUUAACAGUUGCUGCACAGCUGGCAGCAAAAUUGAAAGUUGCACCAUUAAAGGUUUUAUAGCUCCAUUGUAUAAAGAGUAUUUCAAAAUGUAAUAUAGUUGAAAUGUAUUAAAACAAACAAUAUAG